rnacentral:rRNA from 1 species
AGCGAACGCUGGCGGCAUGCCUAACACAUGCAAGUCGCACGGGGGGGCUUCGGCCUCCCAGUGGCGGACGGGUGAGGAACGCGUAGGGACCUGUCGAGGGGUGGGGGAUAACCGCGGGAAACUGCGGCUAAUACCGCAUGACGCCGCGGCGUGACAGCCGGGGCCAAAGGCGAAAGCCGCCCGCCGAGGGGCCUGCGUCCGAUUAGCUGGUUGGCGGGGUAGCGGCCCACCAAGGCGUCGAUCGGUAGCUGGUCUGAGAGGGUGAUCAGCCACACCGGGACUGAGACACGGCCCGGACUCCUACGGGGGGCAGCAGUGGGGAAUAUUGGACAAUGGGCGCAAGCCUGAUCCAGCAAUGCCGCGUGGGUGAAGAAGGUCUUCGGAUUGUAAAGCCCUUUCGGCGGGGACGAUGGUGACGGUACCCGCAGAAGAAGCCCCGGCUAACUUCGUG